rnacentral:sRNA from 1 species
UUGAGAGCCCUGGAAAUGGAUGUCCUCUCUAUCCACAGAGCAGGUAAAGUAGAAGCAGCAGCAGUGCCAGCUUCCCAACACUGCCUUCCUAUCAUGCCUCAAACCUGAUUUGAAGGGACCAUCUGUAAAGGAUAGAGGGGUGUUCCGUCUCUACAGCUCAGAGAGGCCAAA